rnacentral:lncRNA from 1 species
CUCCAAACACCACCUUGCACAGAGCUGCUUUCCAGGGAGAUGCUCUGCCCACCCAACCAGGCCCAGCCAGACACCCCUUCUCUUGACUUUGGCCCCUCAAUGCUCAAUGCUUGAAUUGCACUUUCCACCUCUGAAUUGACAAGGACAGCUAACUCUAAGGUGAUCUGAAAAGGCCAAACUCUCUCAAUGACAUGGAAAGCAUAGCACACUUAUUAGAAGCAGUCUUAAGUAAAAAGUACAUUCUGAUCAACUACAUGUGAUACUUAGAGAAUCCUCGCUGUCAGCCUGGUGUUCUCUUCGACGGUCAUGGCUGGAGCUGGGGUCCUGCUCUGGACCUGCUCUGUCCUAGCUGUUCUCUGCUAACCGCUGACUCUUCCGUCAUUCUUUGCCAGGAUAUCCUCUGCUCUGAUCUGCUGCAGCCUAUACCAGGCUGAUUGACUGGUUUCCUAUCAGAGAGCUCUUAUAUACAUCAUCAGGUUCUCUUUCUUUCUGUCAGGAUCUGGUCAAGUUUUCUUCCUUAAAGCAAGGUUCUUAAAGAGCCCAAGAGUUCUACCAGUGUUUCUGAUGCUUCAGAUGCUUCUGUCCCUACUGUUACCACACAGAAGUUUUCUGAUGUAAGGGAUGGAGGAGGCACCCUCUUCUCAGUGGAAUCAGGCUCUAAGAAGGGCCUGUGUACACAGCUGGUGCAGCCUUCCUACAUAAUCCCAUCAUGCCUUCCUGGGGAGGGGUUUGUCAGCAUCCCUUUCAUUGACAGGAGAGAAAAAAAAUCACUUAAUCCUUCUAGUUUGAAAAUUCUCCCAUUGCCCACACAGCCCUUUCUUGCCGUGUCUUUCCUCCACUAUGAAAGGCUCACCUGGCUGUAGCUGUUGGCGUUUGGAAUGACUCACUUGCUCCUCUGCUGGAAUUUAACUGUUUGGUGAUUUACAUGUAGACUCUUGGAAUCCAAUCCAGAUUUGACUGGGCUUGUGAAAACCUGUAGUUCCAUCUUGGGGAAGUGGUUGAAACUGGAGAAGAAAGAAUCAACCAUGAGAAGUUGGUGGGAUUGUUGGAGAAAUCUCUCUGCUGAGGGUCCAUGGAGAAACUUCAUUUGGGGUAGCAAGGGAGGAGAAGAAGGACAGACAAAAGGGAAACACACACCCCCUCUGCCACCCCCAUCGUCCCUUGGAUCAAUGUUAGGAGAUGCUCAGAGCAGCUCUCCUGUAAUAAACUUUGCUCUGUGCUUGGCUUAUUUCCCCAAUGAGGUGAUUAAGCACAGAGGCACCAAUCUAGCUUCUGCUGGCGGAUCAUAUGAAUAAAGAAUUGGGAAUCAGAACCUGGAGCUGGCCAAUGCACAGUGUCUGUCACUGUGGUCUAGGGAAGAUGGCUGAGGCAGAACUGACCCCCCCGCCUUUUUUGCCAACAUGGAACCAAAGCGUGAUACAAUACAUGGCUGGGAACAUUAGAAAAUUAAAGGUGACUUUCCCACGCAGGAUUGCAAGCCAACAGCAGCUUGAGGAGUCUCAUGUAAUGGGUAUAUUGUCUCCAACAGGGGACCUUGAUGACUGAUAGGUGAAAAGCUGUGCCAUAGCCUGGAAUUAUUAUGCUUGAUCACAAAAGAGGACGAGAGUGACAGCGUGGUGAUCUAUUAGUGCUGUCUGUGGGGUUAAUGGUGAGUUUUCCUACUGCUAGUGGCUUAUAGAGAGAGCAAAGAAAAGGGAAAUGGUGCGGGGGAAAAUCAAUAGUAUUAGAGCCAUGAUAAUAAAUGCAGUCGUUUAUUUCUGAGAUGGUUUUUAUUGAAUUGGUUAUGAACUUGAUACUUUUUCCUUUUUGUUUGUAAGUUGGAGAAAAUGAGAAUUUGGGGAGGAAAAAAUCCAACUGUCUGGUAGACAUAGCAGCCAUUUGGGUCAGAUAAUGAUGGAAUCUUCACAGUCUUUGGAAAGAAGACCAAAUGGGAAAUGAAUAUCUAUGCAGACAGAGGAGAGCUCAGGAGAUGCUGGGGUUCCAGGGGAAAGAGUGUGAUCUUUGAUGUCAGAAAGACCUAUCUUUGAAUCCUGGUUCUGCCUGUUGUUAGCUGCAUGAUCAUUGGCAAGUUACUUAUCUGCAAAACAGGAGAAGUGUAUCUCUCUAGCCAGGGUGGUUAUGAGGUUCAAAGAGCAUCUGCGUAGUUGUAAAAGUAUCCAACAGAGCUCCCGUGGGAAACAGCUACUCUGUAAAUAAACCAUGUUGGCUGAUGCCAUCACCAUCUUGGAAUUCAUAUCUCAUUAUGGUCACCCAGUUCAAUGGCCUCUGAGUCACAGGCCGAGAAAGAAUUGCAUGAUGCAUUUAAUUUUUUGGGUCUGUUGAUAAACAAUAAUCACAUUCAUAUCAAUGAUUAAGAGUGAGCUCAAGUCUCUGAAAGAUAUAGAAAGUCCCUCCAAAAGAUAAUAGCAGGCCUUGGAAAUACCCCAGCAGAAGUGGAAGGAUCAGAUAUCACAGACACUGUAGAAAAGAUUACCUGGGUGGAUGGAAGGGAGGAAUAAGACUAUACAUAGAUUGGUGUUUUUUUGUUUUUGUUUUUUGGCAAAAUGAGGCUCAAAUUGUUAUUUUUUAAAAGCUAGAAAGAAUUCUUUUUUUUUGUAUAUGAAUACUGUAUUCAUUUCACUGUUUUCUCAUUCAUCAUGCAAAAGUUCCUGGGCCAGGGAUCAAACCCAUGCCACAGCAGUGACCUGAGCCACAGCAGUGACAACACCCUAUCCUUAACCUGCUGAGUCACCA